AAGCUCAAAUUUGAAAUCUGGCCUCCUUGCGGGUCCGAAUUGUAAUAUGCAGAGGGUGCUUUGGCGUGGCCAGCGGUCCAAGUUCCUUGGAACAGGACGUCGUAGAGGGUGAGAAUCCCGUACAUGGUCGUCUGUCCUCGCCGUGUAAAGCCCCUUCGAAGAGUCGAGUUGUUUGGGAAUGCAGCUCUAAAUGGGAGGUAAAUUUCUUCUAAAGCUAAAUACCGGCCAGAGACCGAUAGCGCACAAGUAGAGUGAUCGAAAGAUGAAAAGCACUUUGGAAAGAGAGUCAAAAAGCACGUGAAAUUGUUGAAAGGGAAGCGCUUGCCGCUAGACGUGUCCGUGGUAGUCUUCUUCCAUGGGCAGGCCAGCAUCAGUUUGGGCGAUCGGAUAAAGACCUCUGUCAUGUAUCUUCCUUCGGGAUGACCUUAUAGGGGAGGUGCAAUGCGAUCAGCCCAGACUGAGGUCCGCGCAUCAGCUAGGAUGCUGGCGUAAUAGCUGCAAGCGGCCCGUCUUGAAACACGGACCAAGGAGUCUAACAUCUAUGCGAGUGUUUGGGUGUCAAGCCCGAGCGCGCAAUGAAAGUGAAUGGAGAUGGGAACCUUUGAGGUGCACCAUCGACCGAUCCUGAGAUUUUCGGAUGGAUUUGAGUAGGAGCAUAGCUGUUGGGACCCGAAAGAUGGUGAACUAUGCUUGAAUAGGGUGAAGCCAGAGGAAACUCUGGUGG
rnacentral:rRNA from 1 species